UCCCCUGUAGCUCAGUCGGUAGAGCAGCUGACUGUUAAUCAGCGGGUCGUUGGUUCGAGUCCAACCGGGGGAG
rnacentral:tRNA from 1 species